GACAGAUGGAGAAUUAUUUAAAACAGUUUACUACAAACGAGUCGCGUCCUUGACCACAUCUGCGAAAUGGAGACGUAUCCGGAACAAUCGGUACAAAUACAGUGCUGUCUGGAGAAUUUUGUGCUGUUUGAUUGUCGACAAUUCCUACUGGAUGUUACCCAGAAUCCAAACCAUUACAAAUAGCUACCGAAAGUGGAAGUGUUAAUAUGUAUUCCGAAAAGCUGUUGAGCUACUGAUGGAAUCUUGCGCUGGGAGGAAACCUGUCAUCCGGAACAGGUGUACCAUCAACGGGAAAUUGUAUGAUUUGGUUUUCUGUGGACGACGGAGAAUCCAACUCCCUAAACCAUGUCAUCGACAGCUGGAUAAGCUUGAGUAUGGAAUAAUUCGAGAAGAUGAAAUGCGUCGCCAAGAUAGAAAUAAUUCUGCUGUGAGACACGGGCCAACGCCAACGGUUAGAUGCCGACAUUUGCGGAAAUUUGAUUACGAACGGUUGCUUAUCAGAU